rnacentral:lncRNA from 1 species
GGGCGCGACUGGUCCUCUGUUACCGCAGGCCUCCCCUCUUGUUUCAGUGCUCCGUUCUAUGGCAAGGACACCUCAGUGGAGCCAGAUGACUUCACCCACAAAGCAGAACGGGGCCUCGGCUGGGAAGCUAACGCCAGGUGGAUGCCUAGCCACUCCACUCCUAGGAUCCUGCCCUCUCCCCGUCAUCAGUUUCCCAAGGAGACAGAUGCUGAAUCAUCGAGAUUUUGCCAAGACUCCGUGGUGGACACCCCCCUUCAGAAGUUGGAUCUGCAGUAAUGUUCUUUGGAAAGAACCUAUCAUCUUAGGAACUUUUUUACUAUUGAGACAUCACUGGGGAACUGCCCAUCCCAAGCAGUUCAUAUGGAGAAUGUUAAAAGCUCUGAAUUUUGGACAGUUAAAUUUGACAAAGUACUCUGGACACUUGUAAGUAAAUCCUCGCCUUUGUGAAUAUUAAUGAUACAUUUCAGCUCCUACGUAUCAUUAUAUUCCUAUUAUACACACACAAAUCUCGGGAGUAGAGCAAAGCAAAUGUAGAAAUUAUAUGAACUCAUGAAUGUUCAAAGUAGUAUGAGGAUUUUUUUUUU